GCCUGGCUGGCUAAGUUAGCAGAGCACACAACUCUUGAUUUUCAGGUUAUGAGUUCAAGUCCCAUGUUGGGUG
rnacentral:tRNA from 1 species